rnacentral:rRNA from 1 species
GACGAACGCUGGCGGCGUGCUUAACACAUGCGAGUCGAGCGGUAAGGCCUUUCGGGGUACACGGGCGGCGAACGGGUGAGUAACACGUGGGUGAUCUGCCCUGCACUUCGGGAUAAGCCUGGGAAACUGGGUCUAAUACCGGAUAUGACCUCCUAUCGCAUGGUGGGUGGUGGAAAGAUUUAUCGGUGCAGGAUGGGCCCGCGGCCUAUCAGCUUGUUGGUGGGGUAAUGGCCUACCAAGGCGACGACGGGUAGCCGACCUGAGAGGGUGACCGGCCACACUGGGACUGAGACACGGCCCAGACUCCUACGGGAGGCAGCAGUGGGGAAUAUUGCACAAUGGGCGAAAGCCUGAUGCAGCGACGCCGCGUGAGGGAUGACGGCCUUCGGGUUGUAAACCUCUUUCAGCAGGGACGAAGCGCAAGUGACGGUACCUGCAGAAGAAGCACCGGCUAACUACGUG